rnacentral:lncRNA from 10 species
AUUCAUCGACUACAUUUCCAAAACCCUCCUGCAGUUAGCUGUGGCCAUGUAACUGAGUUUUAGCAAAAGAUUGUGAGCAAAAGUAAUGUGUGCCACUUUAAAGCUUGGCCUUGAGAACUCUCAGGAAACGCUAAGCUCUUUGACCCUUCUCACUGCUUGGAAUGGUGGAUUCCCAAGGAGAAUCUGGAAGAUUUUUCUUGGAUUUUAUUUCCCUUUCAAUGGCCUACUCUCAGUGUUGGUGUCUGAGCUUCCUCUGUGUGGAACAGAAGAUUUUUAAACCUGUAUAUUUAUAGCAAACAAUGAAUCUCUAAAUAGUUCUUCAGAUCUUGAAGUGUUCCCACUUAUUAAUUAAUUUGAGAAGGUUUUGCCAGAUCUGAGGGAGAUUUUCAUAUUUUUUCUUCUCAUAUGGCAAAGAAGUUCUCAGGCCUAUGAAUUUAUAGAAAGAAAGUGAAAUCUGGCAAGAUCAUCAGAGACUGUUUAAUUGGGAUUUUUGUGCUUCAGAAAACAAGAAAAUCAAGCUCAGAGAUGAAAUCAGGUCUUCCAAACCUCCUGAAAGGAGUCUCCCUGUUCUAUAUUCAGGAAGGCAUUGGUCACAUUGAGGUCCUUUUGGGAUUCUCUAGUUUUCAUGUUUCAGUGGUAGACAAGGGAGUGUUUGAAGCAUCAAGAGCAUUUUCAGUGUCACUAUUCUCUGUCUUAACUCUCCUGAAGCACCAACCAUGAUCAAGCUUGCAGUCUGAGUGUAAGAUGUAGAAGGAGACAGAAAUGAAAUGCAGUUACCCAAGAAAUAUUUAAAUACAAUUGUAUUAAAUACUGUGAUGGAGAGAUACAGACUACUGCGAGUGUGUAUAUAAAAACGGGGGGUCCUGAUCUGGUCAGGUGGAAUGGGGAAAGCUUCCAGGAGGAAGACAAAUUUAAGCUGAGACCUGAAGGGCGAUUAGAAAUUGUGCAACUGAGGGAGACAAUUCUAUUAAUAGCGCUAUAUCCCCUAGUGACUGGAAUGUAGGGUUUGAGACCUUGGGCUCAAAGACUGACUGCCUGAACAAAAUUCUCUCCUUUACCACACUUUUAGCUCUGUUUUCUGUGGGCAAGACACUGAAGUUUUCUGUUUCUCCAGCCCUUUGUAUGAAAUUAGGGAAUAAUACUAUUAAGGUAUUGUGCUCUUAAACCAUUAUCACACAAUUUUGAUAAUCCCAUGUGAAACUUAAAUGCAAUAAUGCAUGUAAAGCAUUUUAACAGUGCCAAACACUCAGUAAACAAUCAACAAAUAUUGGCUAUUAUUAUUGCAGGAUUCUGCAGCUUACAAAACAUUUUCAUAGGCAUCAUACAUUAUCUCAUCACCAAUGCUUUCCUAUAGUACUAGUUCUCGGGACACUUCCUCUGCUGAUGGUACUAUGAUUCUAUUUGGAGAAAAUAAGCAAAUGCUGUGAACCCCUUUUUAGCUUUAUUAGGGGCUAGGAGUAUUCUGUGGGAGAAUCGAGACAGAGCUUGGGUCUCGGAGUCCCCAAGUAUAUUCAAGAAUCCUCCUAUGUAGACUGGAAGUUUACCAAUACUUAAAAUUCUAGCAGUGUCUUAGAUGAAUAGAGGCACACAUUUAAAGGACUAGGUUACAUUAAGGAUUUUGAAAACAUGACAUUUAUGGUUUAACUGCUCCUCAGGAAUCAUGUCCUCAAACUGUUCAAUAAUGAUGUAAGAUGGGUGAACAAACAAUUUAAGCUUCACUCUAAAAUAAUCUCGGCGGGAGCACAAUAUUGUAAACAGUCAUUGCUGCAUCUCCAUUCUGUGAAGUUCCCUUUCAUUGUUGUCCAUUUAUUCCUUUAAACUAAAAGUCUUUGACCAAGUUACUUAGCAUCUUCUAACAAUUCUUAAAAGUUCUUCUAAAGAAAUUCAGCGUAAGGCGGUGUGAGCUAUUACACUGACUAUAAAGAAUGUCAUUUCUAUUGAAAAGAGCAAACUUUCCACUAAACACAUUUGACCUUCUUCUAUCUGGUAUUGUGGCUCAUCUGAGAAUAGGGAUGGUGGCUGUAUUAGUUCAUUCUCAUGCUGCUAAUAAAGACGUACCCGAGAUUGGGUAAUUUAUAAAGGAAAAGGGUUUAAUUGACUCACACAGUUCAGCA